rnacentral:rRNA from 1 species
AGAGUUUGAUCCUGGCUCAGGAUGAACGCUGGCGGCGUGCUUAACACAUGCAAGUCGAACGAUUAAACUGGCUUCGGCCAGAUAUAGAGUGGCGAACGGGUGAGUAACACGUGACCAACCUGCCCCGCGCUCCGGGACAACCGCUGGAAACGGCGGCUAAUACCGGAUGCUCCGGGGAGGCCCCAUGGCCUCCCCGGGAAAGCCUUAACGGCGCGGGAUGGGGUCGCGGCCCAUUAGGUAGACGGCGGGGUAACGGCCCACCGUGCCCGCGAUGGGUAGCCGGACUGAGAGGUCGACCGGCCACAUUGGGACUGAGAUACGGCCCAGACUCCUACGGGAGGCAGCAGUGGGGAAUUUUGCGCAAUGGGGGAAACCCUGACGCAGCAACGCCGCGUGCGGGACGAAGGCCUUCGGGUUGUAAACCGCUUUCAGCAGGGAAGACAUAGACGGUACCUGCAGAAGAAGCUCCGGCUAACUACGUG